UAUAUUUGAGAGUUUGAUCCUGGCUCAGGAUGAACGCUGGCGGCGUGCCUAACACAUGCAAGUCGAGCGAACCCUUCGGGGUGAGCGGCGGACGGGUGAGUAACGCGUGGGUAACCUGCCCUGUACACACGGAUAACAUACCGAAAGGUAUGCUAAUACGGGAUAACAUAUGAGAGUCGCAUGGCUUUCAUAUCAAAGCUCCGGCGGUACAGGAUGGACCCGCGUCUGAUUAGCUAGUUGGUAAGGUAACGGCUUACCAAGGCAACGAUCAGUAGCCGACCUGAGAGGGUGAUCGGCCACAUUGGAACUGAGACACGGUCCAAACUCCUACGGGAGGCAGCAGUGGGGAAUAUUGCACAAUGGGCGAAAGCCUGAUGCAGCAACGCCGCGUGAGCGAUGAAGGCCUUCGGGUCGUAAAGCUCUGUCCUCAAGGAAGAUAAUGACGGUACUUGAGGAGGAAGCCCCGGCUAACUACGUGCCAGCAGCCGCGGUAAUACGUAGGGGGCUAGCGUUAUCCGGAAUUACUGGGCGUAAAGGGUGCGUAGGCGGUCUUUCAAGCCAGAAGUGAAAGGCUACGGCUCAACCGUAGUAAGCUUUUGGAACUGUAGGACUUGAGUGCAGGAGAGGAGAGUGGAAUUCCUAGUGUAGCGGUGAAAUGCGUAGAUAUUAGGAGGAACACCAGUAGCGAAGGCGGCUCUCUGGACUGUAACUGACGCUGAGGCACGAAAGCGUGGGGAGCAAACAGGAUUAGAUACCCUGGUAGUCCACGCCGUAAACG
rnacentral:rRNA from 1 species